rnacentral:lncRNA from 1 species
GGUCUUCAAUCAACCAUCAAGAAGGCAUCUUCUGCAUGGAUACUAGCACCCUGAUGAAGACCAAGGCUUCUGAUCGGAUCGAAGAUCUCGUGUGGAUACCUUUUAAAUCUAUUUUGGGCUUGAAGGAUGUAAGGAGAAUUAGUAAAAUUGAAGCUAAAUAUUUGAAUAUUGAAAUCAGGCUCCUACAUCACAUGGUAACAAAAAUAUUUUUUCCUAGAGAGGG